rnacentral:rRNA from 1 species
AUUGAACGCUGGCGGCAGGCCUAACACAUGCAAGUCGAGCGAGCGGCGGACGGGUGAGUAAUGUAUGGGAAUCUGCCCGAUAGAGGGGGAUAACUACUGGAAACGUUGGCUAAUACCGCAUACCAUCCGGUGUACCCAUAUGGGAUUAGCUAGUAGGUGGGGUAAGGGCUCACCUAGGCGACGAUCCCUAGCUGGUCUGAGAGGAUGACCAGCCACACUGGAACUGAGACACGGUCCAGACUCCUACGGGAGGCAGCAGUGGGGAAUAUUGCACAAUGGGCGCAAGCCUGAUGCAGCCAUGCCGCGUGUGUGAAGAAGGCCUUAGGGUUGUAAAGUACUUUCAGCGAGGAGGCGUUACUCGCAGAAGAAGCACCGGCUAACUCCGUGCCAGCAGCCGCGGUAAUAC